AGAGUUUGAUCCUGGCUCAGAACGAACGCUGGCGGAGUGCCUAACACAUGCAAGUCGAACGUGAAGGGGGCUUCGGUCCCCGGAAAGUGGCGCACGGGUGAGUAACGCGUGGAUAAUCUGCCCAGUGAUCUGGGAUAACAUCUCGAAAGGGGUGCUAAUACCGGAUAAGCCCACGGAGUCCUUGGAUUCUGCGGGAAAAGGGGGGGACCUUCGGGCCUUUUGUCACUGGAUGAGUCCGCGUACCAUUAGCUAGUUGGUGGGGUAAUGGCCCACCAAGGCUACGAUGGUUAGCUGGUCUGAGAGGAUGAUCUGCCACACUGGAACUGAGACACGGUCCAGACUCCUACGGGAGGCAGCAGUGGGGAAUUUUGCGCAAUGGGCGAAAGCCUGACGCAGCAAGCCGCGUGAGUGAUGAAGGCCCUCGGGUCGUAAAGCUCUGUCGGGAGGGAAGAAGUGAUUGAGGGUUAAUACCCCUUGGUCUUGACGGUACCUCCGAAGGAAGCACCGGCUAACUCCGUGCCAGCAGCCGCGGUAAUACGGAGGGUGCAAGCGUUGUUCGGAAUUAUUGGGCGUAAAGCGCGUGUAGGCGGUUUCUUAAGUCUGAUGUGAAAGCCCCGGGCUCAACCUGGGAAGUGCAUUGGAAACUGGGAGACUUGAGUACGGGAGAGG
rnacentral:rRNA from 1 species